ACCUACGGGGGGCAGCAGUGGGGAAUAUUGCACAAUGGGGGGAACCCUGAUGCAGCGACGCCGCGUGGGCGAUGGAGUAUUUCGGUAUGUAAAGCCCUAUCGGCAGGGAAGAAACUGACAGUACCUGACUAAGAAGCCCCGGCUAACUACGUGCCAGCAGCCGCGGUAAUACGUAGGGGGCAAGCGUUAUCCGGAUUUACUGGGGGUAAAGGGAGCGCAGACGGCAAGGCAAGUCUGAUGUGAAAGUCCGAGGCUCAACCUCGGGACUGCAUUGGAAA
rnacentral:rRNA from 1 species